AGUCGUAACAAGGUCUCCGUUGGUGAACCAGCGGAGGGAUCAUUACAGAGUUAUACAACUCCCAUACCAUCUGUUAACCUACCCAGUUAUGCCUCGGCGUAAGCUCGGUUGGAGGCACCUGCAGCUACCCUGUAGUUGCGGACUGCCAACUCCAGCCGCGGCCCGCCGGCGGUACACUAAACUCUGUUUUAUUUUAUAUUCUGAGCGUCUUAUUUUAAUAAGUUAAAACUUUCAACAACGGAUCUCUUGGUUCUGGCAUCGAUGAAGAACGCAGCGAAAUGCGAUAAGUAAUGUGAAUUGCAGAAUUCAGUGAAUCAUCGAAUCUUUGAACGCACAUUGCGCCCAUCAGUAUUCUGGUGGGCAUGCCUGUUCGAGCGUCAUUUCAACCCUUAAGCCUAGCUUAGUGUUGGGAAUCUGCUGUACUGCAGUUCCUUAAAGACAGUGGCGGAGCGGCGGUAGUCCUCUGAGCGUAGUAAUUUAUUUCUCGCUUUUGUCAGGCUCUGUCCUCCCGCCAUAAAACCCCCAAUUUUUUAGUGGUUGACCUCGGAUCAGGUAGGAAUACCCGCUGAACUUAAGCAUAUCAAUAAGCGGAGGAA
rnacentral:misc_RNA from 1 species